CUAGUAGAUACCUUUUUAUUGUAAAGUUUGUCUAGGACUUUGAGUAAACAAUAAUCGCUAGAAUUACAUGGACAAACAAGUGAAUAGUUAAUGUUUGAAAGAGUUACACCGAAAACGUCUGUAAAAAAAGUCUGUGGAUUUUCUGUUUAAAUCGUAUCUUAAUUUGCUCAAAAUCCCCGUUUUCUAUUAAAAAUGCAAUAUUAUUGAUCUGAAUAAUGUUUCCUAUUGGUAUAUGUACGAAAUGGCACGUCUCUUUACUUCAGAUUUUUUGCUGUUUGAUAUUAUUGCACUAUUGUAGUAAACAAGCCUACAGAAGGGGUCAUCAAUCCACAUAAGAUAGUGAUAAACAUUGACGUUAAAUACAAAUUCAAAAUAGAAAGAAAAAAGUAAAAUCACAAAAAUACUGACUUCCGAGGAAUAUUCAAUCGGAAAGUCUCUAAUCAAAUUGAAAAAUCAAAUGACAAAACACAUCAAACAAAUGGACAAAAACUGUCAUAUUCAUGAGUUGGUACAUUUUAUAUCCCGC
rnacentral:lncRNA from 1 species